rnacentral:rRNA from 1 species
UACGUAGGGUGCGAGCGUUGUCCGGAAUUAUUGGGCGUAAAGAGCUCGUAGGCGGCUUGUUGCGUCGGCUGUGAAAUCCCAUGGCUCAACUGUGGGCUUGCAGCCGAUACGGGCAGACUAGAGUGAUGUAGGGGAGACUGGAAUUCCUGGUGUAGCGGUGAAAUGCGCAGAUAUCAGGAGGAACACCGAUGGCGAAGGCAGGUCUCUGGGCAUUAACUGACGCUGAGGAGCGAAAGCAUGGGGAGCGAACAGG